GGGCUCAGAACCAGCCCUGGACAAUGUGUACCUGAACCUCCUCUCAGAAUCCUUCACCUCUUGGCCUUACACGACUGGAGAUAACUAAAGGAGUGCUUUUUAUGCCACCGUGAGUCAUAUUUCCUAUUCUUUGCAGCAGAAGACAUCUUCCCUUAAUACAGUGACUCAUUUACACAGCUUCAAAAUUAGCAAGUGCUGACUCCAACUCCUUCACAUCAGCUUGGUGGAUGCAGCUGGUAUGAGUGACCAUCCACUGACAAGAAUCGCAGUGGAAACCCACAGCUUUCACUUCUGUCCAUCAGGACUGUCUCACCAGAGGAAGCAUAGGCUCAGCAUGAGACCUUUAGGCAUGCACCUCAAGUGCCAAACUCCUUUCUUCCUGUCCUACUGGUGCAUCUGGGGAUGCGAAGGAGAGCUGGGGGCCCACCUUGUCUCCCCAGCUAUGCUGAUGCCCAGGAAGUGCUCCUUACCUGCUGGGGGUCCACCAAGAGUCUAUGAUGACAUGUCCUGGAUUUCAGCUCACCUGCCUUCCCAAGGAUCACAGUCCUUGGCUGCAGGGAUAUAGAAGGGGAAGUUCUUCCAGAGCAAGCAAAGGAGUUCCCAAUGGCCUCAUCACUUCUCUGAAUUCCAGGGCUUCUGAAUUCCAGGGUCUUUGCUGAGAAAUAUCUGACGAGAGGAAAGAGCCAGGCUCUGCAUCCUGACAAUGCCAAGGGCCUCCUCCAAAUGAAUUUCCACUGCAGAUAUUUAAUGAAGUAAUGGGGAAACCAGGAAGGUAGUGAUUGGGCCAAACCUCCACAACCAGGACUCAAAAUAAAAAACUUUUUUUUUUUCAACA